UCCCUAAUAGCUCAGUUGGUAAAGAAUCUGCCUGCAAUGCAGGAGAUUCCAGUUCGAUUCCUGGGUUGGGAA
rfam:TPA: Bos taurus chromosome 25, whole genome shotgun sequence.